rnacentral:rRNA from 1 species
AGAGUUUGAUCCUGGCUCAGAUUGAACGCUGGCGGCGUGCUUAACACAUGCAAGUCGAACGUGAAAGUCCUUCGGGAUGAGUAAAGUGGCGCACGGGUGAGUAACGCGUGGAUAAUCUACCUUCAAGACGGGGAUAACGGUUGGAAACGGCCGCUAAUACCGGAUACGCUAUAUAUUAUAACGUUAUAUAGGAAAUGAUAGCCUCUGCUUGCAAGCUAUUGCUUGAAGAUGAGUCCGCGUCCCAUUAGCUAGUUGGUGAGGUAAAAGCUCACCAAGGCAACGAUGGGUAGCCGUUCUAAGAGGAUGAUCGGCCACACUGGAACUGGAACACGGUCCAGACUCCUACGGGAGGCAGCAGUGGGGAAUAUUGCGCAAUGGGCGAAAGCCUGACGCAGCGACGCCGCGUGAGGGAUGAAGGUCUUCGGAUCGUAAACCUCUGUCAGAGGGGAAGAAGUGUGUCUAUUCAAAUAGGGUAGGCAUUUGACGGUACCCUCAAAGGAAGCACCGGCUAACUCCGUGCCAGCAGCCGCGGUAAUACGGAGGGUGCGAGCGUUAAUCGGAAUUACUGGGCGUAAAGCGCACGUAGGUGGUUUUGUAAGUCAGGGGUGAAAUCCCACCGCUCAACGGUGGAACAGCCUUUGAUACUGCAUCACUAGAGUAUCGGAGAGGGUGGCGGAAUUCCAGGUGUAGGAGUGAAAUCCGUAGAUAUCUGGAGGAACACCGGUGGCGAAGGCGGCCACCUGGACGAAAACUGACACUGAGGUGCGAAAGCAUGGGGAGCAAACAGGAUUAGAUACCCUGGUAGUCCAUGCUGUA